rnacentral:tRNA from 1 species
AGAGGGUUCGACUCCUUCCUUUCUUAU